UCCAGACUCCUACGGGAGGCAGCAGUGAGGAAUAUUGGUCAAUGGGCGGGAGCCUGAACCAGCCAAGUCGCGUGAGGGACGACGGUCCUAUGGAUUGUAAACCUCUUUUGUCGGGGAACAAAGGCGGGGACGUGUCCCCGGAUGAGUGUACCUGAAGAAAAAGCAUCGGCUAACUCCGUGCCAGCAGCCGCGGUAAUACGGAGGAUGCGAGCGUUAUCCGGAUUUAUUGGGUUUAAAGGGUGCGCAGGCGGUCUUUUAAGCCAGCGGUCAAACCCCGGGGCUCACCUCCGGCCCGCCGUUGAAACUGGCAGUCUCGAGUUGGAGAGAAGUAUGCGGAAUGCGCGGUGUAGCGGUGAAAUGCAUAGAUAUCGCGCAGAACUCCGAUUGCGAAGGCAGCAUGCCGGCUCCACACUGACGCUGAGGCACGAAAGCGUGGGUAUCGAACAGGAUUAGAUACCCCUGUACG
rnacentral:rRNA from 1 species